rnacentral:rRNA from 1 species
GAUUCGUCUUUGUAUCUAGAUCUAUACCCGAACUCAUACCGAACUCGAGUGUCCUUAUUUAGAUAGCCAUACAUACUACUUUUGUGGGAACCAUGGUAAUACUAACAAUUU